UACAGAGGUGGCAAGCGUUAUUCGGAAUCACUGGGCUUAAAGGGCGCGUAGGCGGGCAGCCGAAGUCCGGGGUGAAAGCUUUCGGGCUUAACCUGGAAAAGAGCCCUUGGAUAUGGCUGUCUCGAGGGAGGUAGGGGUCUGUGGAACUUCCAGUGGAGCGGUGAAAUGCGUAGAUAUUGGAAGGAACGCCGGUGGCGAAAGCGACGGACUGGACCUCUUCUGACGCUGAGGCGCGAAAGCCCAGGGGAGCAAAGCGGG
rnacentral:rRNA from 1 species